rnacentral:rRNA from 1 species
AGCAGCCGCGGUAAUUCCAGCUCCAAUAGCGUAUAUUAAAGUUGUUGCAGUUAAAAAGCUCGUAGUUGAAUUUCGGGGUUCUACCGUUGGUCGGGCUAACCAGUCUGUACUAGCGUGUAGAAUUCCUGCCUUCUGGGGAACCAUCAUGUUGUUAAUUUAGCGUGGUGGGAAACCAGGACCUUUACCUUGAAAAAAUUAGAGUGUUCAAAGCAGGCUUACGUCUGAAUACAUUAGCAUGGAAUAAUAAAAUAGGACGGUGGUCCUGUUUUGUUGGUUUCUGAAUCACCGUAAUGAUUAAUAGGGAUAGUUGGGGGCAUUAGUAUUCAAUUGUCAGAGGUGAAAUUCUUGGAUUUAUUGAAGACUAACUUCUGCGAAAGCAUUUGCCAAGGAUGUUUUCAUUAAUCAAGAACGAAAGUUAGGGGAUCGAAGACGAUCAGAUACCGUCGUAGUCUUAACCAUAAACUAUGCCGACUAGGGAUCGGACGAUGUUAAAUUUUAUUGACUCGUUUCGGCGCCUUAC